rnacentral:lncRNA from 1 species
CGUCUGUAGCUCGGCGCAGCCACGCGGGGCUCCAGCGAGCGGGGUCCGCCACCCCUCGCGCCCUCCUGCGGCUUUCCCAGCGCUGGGCCAGUGCAGGCCGAGCCCUGCGUCCCUGCCUCGCUGGGUGGGGGUCCGGGGCGCGGCUGUCCACAGGGCCGCCUCCUCCUGCGGCCCGCGGGGAAGGGGCGCAUCCCACCCCGCUCUGCAGGCCGCCCUUCUGCCAGCUGGGAGGCGAGGGCACACGUCCUAAGGCUGCCCAAGGGGGAGAGGAAUCGCGCCGGUAGGAGAGCGCACGGGAACCAGGAACGCAAGGCGGGCACAGGGGAGCCGAAGGAGCCAGACAGGGCCCGGCCACGCGCCCUCCUCGCUCGGCUGCGCUCCGUGACGGGAACCCAGGCUCCCACGCACGGGGAAUGCCUAGAACGGAGCUAGAAUGGAGGCCCCUUUGUGUGACUAAAUUUGGCAAGAAUAUGGAUCUGAGCCAGUCUUUCCACGUGUGCUCCCAGCUCCCAGCUGAGAAGGCCAAGGGUUCUCUUCCGGUGCUCCAGGAAAGUACCUGAUUGACAAGAUCUACAUCCAAUGCCCAGAAAACACAUCCUACACAGGCACAGUGAAGCGUGGAGUUGAAGAAUUUUCCAGUGAGUUCCAUCAAAGUAAAUAAACCAACCUAGAGCAUCAGGAUUGAGCCUCCUUUUUCUCAUGACAUGACUUUUGAGUGUCCUUGGGAAUGGUUUGUA